rnacentral:tRNA from 1 species
GACCGCAUGGUGUAGUGGUUUGAGCAUUGGACUAUGACUCUGGAGACCAGGGUUUGAAUCUCUGCUUAGCCA